rnacentral:rRNA from 1 species
GACGAACGCUGGCGGCGUGCUUAACACAUGCAAGUCGAGCGGUAAGGCCCCUUCGGGGGUACACGAGCGGCGAACGGGUGAGUAACACGUGAGCAACCUACCCUCAACUUUGGGAUAAGCCUCGGAAACGGGGUCUAAUACCGGAUAAUACUACAGGCCUCAUGGUUUGUGGUUGAAAGUUCUGGCGGUUGGGGAUGGGCUCGCGGCCUAUCAGCUUGUUGGUGGGGUAAUGGCCUACCAAGGCGUCGACGGGUAGCCGGCCUGAGAGGGCGACCGGCCACACUGGGACUGAGACACGGCCCAGACUCCUACGGGAGGCAGCAGUGGGGAAUAUUGCGCAAUGGACGAAAGUCUGACGCAGCAACGCCGCGUGAGGGAUGACGGCCUUCGGGUUGUAAACCUCUUUCAGCAGGGACGAAGCGAGAGUGACGGUACCUGCAGAAGAAGGACCGGCCAACUACGUGCCAGCAGCCGCGGUAAUACGUAGGGUCCGAGCGUUGUCCGGAAUUAUUGGGCGUAAAGGGCUCGUAGGCGGUUCGUCACGUCGGGAGUGAAAACUCGGGGCUUAACCCCGAGCCUGCUUCCGAUACGGGCAGACUAGAGGUAGGCAGGGGAGAGCGGAACUCCUGGUGUAGCGGUGGAAUGCGCAGAUAUCAGGAAGAACACCGGUGGCGAAGGCGGCUCUCUGGGCCUUACCUGACGCUGAGGAGCGAAAGCGUGGGUAGCGAACAGGAUUAGAUACCCUGGUAGUCCACGCCGUAAACGUUGGGCGCUAGGUGUGGGGGACAUUCCACGUCCUCCGUGCCGCAGCUAACGCAUUAAGCGCCCCGCCUGGGGAGUACGGCCGCAAGGCUAAAACUCAAAGGAAUUGACGGGGGCCCGCACAAGCGGCGGAGCAUGCGGAUUAAUUCGAUGCAACGCGAAGAACCUUACCUGGGUUUGACAUAUAGGGAAAUCCUCCAGAGAUGGGGGGUCCGUAAGGGUCCUAUACAGGUGGUGCAUGGCUGUCGUCAGCUCGUGCCCUGAGAUGUUGGGUUAAGUCCCGCAACCAGCGCAACCCUCGUCCUAUGUUGCCAGCACGCCCUUCGGGGUGGUGGGGACUCAUAGGAGACUGCCGGGGUCAACUCGGAGGAAGGUGGGGAUGACGUCAAGUCAUCAUGCCCCUUAUGUCCAGGGCUUCACGCAUGCUACAAUGGCCGGUACAAAGGGCUGCGAAACUGUAAGGUGGAGCGAAUCCCAAAAAGCCGGUCUCAGUUCGGAUUGGGGUCUGCAACUCGACCCCAUGAAGUCGGAGUCGCUAGUAAUCGCAGAUCAGCAACGCUGCGGUGAAUACGUUCCCGGGCCU